rnacentral:lncRNA from 1 species
CUUAAAUUAGGGAAUUCGUUAAAAGGAAACUUACCUAUAUUCUUGGUGAGUUCUGAGUCCGUGGCUUGGGCUUCCCAUAUUUUCAAAAAGAGAUCUGGUAGGGCUCAAAUCUGGGCGAGAUAGAUGCCUUUGUCGUAGUAGCUAAAGUGUAGCGACUAUACAAUAUCCAUCAAUUUCUAACUGGAGGCCAGGGUUUGAGCCAGCAC